UGACUUUGGUUAGUUCGAAGAAAAGUGAAUAUAGGUCCAUUAGAGUAAGCACAGAUUGGAAAAUGUAUUAUAAAUAUGGGUAUAAACAUAAUUAAAUAUGCUUUGUAGUUAACUAACACUAAAAAUGGGUAGCUAUUUUUUCACAAAGUGCCAAAUCUUUAGCAGCUGAAGUGUCGAGUGUGUGGGCUGGACUUCCCUCUCAUCUCAAGUCUCAAUUAUGCAAAGAGUCCCACAUUGCUCAGAUGAAAAUUGCUAUAUAUUUUUAUAUACUCUAAUGUCAGGAGAUACGCUGGAAUGAUACAGAGAAGAUUAGCAUGGCCCCUGCGCAAGGAUGACACGCACAAAUCGAGAAAUGGUCAUAAUUGUUUUUUACCAAAUCUGUCCUGUUUUUCCUUAUGAUUUCAUUCACCCAAUCAUCUCUGCAAAUCUCUCUGAUUUCAUUAACUUUUUUCCUUCAGUAAUGGAAGUGAGAUUCUGACUGAUUGAGUUUUGGUUAUCUGAAAAUUUCAUCUUCUCAAGCUUCAGUUUUUUUAUUCAUUUCGGUAUCUCUGUGAUUUUAUUUCUGCCAAGUUUUUCUGAAGAUGAAAGUGCAUAUGAAAAUGUUGCAUACCAGGCGUUUGAUGAUAAUUCCCAAAGAAACUAAAUUAUUUUUGGGAUUUGGAAUUUAAUUUUAAAUUGUGGGUACAUAUUAUAUUUUUGCUGCAGUGGUUAUCCUCUUGUGCUGUUGAGCCAAUAUGAUGGCCUCGAAGUCUUUCGCUUAAACUAUUGAGGUAAGUUUUUUGAAAGACUCGGAAUAUUUUCGUCUCCAAAAUUAUUUGUUGCUUUUAUUACAAUAAGUUCACUGAGGAGAUUCAUAGUUUUAUGCAUCUAGUGUUUAUGUGUUUAGACAUCUUCAGUGAGAAGAAUAUUGUCCCCACCUCUGUGAAGCUGGAAUUGAUUAAAAUGCUAGUCUCUAAGUUUUGUCUCACCAAAAUGGGUUCCACAGUAAACAAUUUGGUAAUUAUGUGGAAAAAUGAAUGCAUUCAAAGGGGUUAUUUUUCUCCUCUGCACCUUUUCAUUCUUUGUUUUUAUUGUCAUUCUUCUUAUGAAUGUGUCAGUUAAUGCCAUUACUUUCACAUAGGCUUUUUGUGUGAGUUGUAGAGUUGUAGCUGCGUUGGUUGCUAGAAAUGUAAAAGGUUAUUAUUUUUACUUGUUCCUGCUUCUUUUCAUGUUGUGGACUUUUUUGUCAAUUUUUUUUUACUCAUUGAGAAUCACUGUGUAUCUGCUUUAUUUUAUCUCAUCAUUUUUUGUAUCAUAGUUUCUUUAGUUUGUCAACAUUGCUUUUCAUGGUUGGAGUUCUAAACCUUUCUCAUCUUUAGUUUGAUGAACUUAUAUUUCCGUGGUAUCUUGUUUCUCUUUAAGCUAUCAGAUGCUAAGGAUGUAAUGGAAGCAAUUCAAGAUGUUGACAAGCAAGUCUGAGAACAGACUAAAGAAUUUACAACCAGAAAAACUCUUAAACAGCUACAAACCAGAAAAUUACCAUAAAAAAAACCUGCAGUUUCUAACUAAAUCAGCAAAAAAUAAACCCUUAAACUCCUUUACAUUCAAUGCUCAUGUAGCUGCCCAAUAUCUGAAUUUAUUCCACAGAUGAGGGGAAGUCUCCUCAGUAUCUUAAAAAAUUCAUCUAUUGCGCUCCAAGCAAAUUGCCCAUCACAUGGCCAUGGCUGCUACACCCCAAAAAUCUCAUGACAAUGCUGCUGAAAUACUCACUGCAUAUUGAACUCUCUGAACAAAGUUCUCAGAGAGAAGAAAAUUCACAAUGAACAAAAUGGUGGUUCAAACUCUCCCCACUUUUCUUCCACAGAACACAUCACCCGGGUGACUUUUUUUUUUUAAUAAGAAAUAGUUUGUUGCUUCCCAUUUGUAAAAUUAGCCCAGCUGGGGUUUGAACCACAGAGCUCUUACACACAACACACACCCAUGUGUUUAAUAAUGCAUCUUUACCUGGAUUCGUUAUAGUAAUGCAGGGGGCUAAGGAUUAGACAGAUCAGAUAGAGAGGGUUUUCCUUUUCCUGAACAGUGGUGAAAAGCAUGUCAUCAGAGUAGGCGAAUCUGAUGCCACACUCUAUCUGUGUCGAAACUUAUAUUAGCUGAGGUUUAGAAUCCUUUCCUUUCAUUCAUUAUUAUUGGCAUGGUAUGCUUCAUUUUUAAAUAACAAACAUUUACAUGGACUACUAGACGGAUACGUUCUGUCCUAUAUAUGAGCACUCACUUUUUGGUUAACACCAUUUCUUAUUACAUGCUCACAAUUACGAGACUAGAGAUGCUUUUCAUUGGAUUUCUUCUUCAACUUUUGGUCAUACGUUCUCUAAAAUGGGUGCUGCAAUGAAGCAUCUGUAGUCUUUAAUGAAGCAGCUUCCCAAACUCUGCUUGUGUCGAACGAGGAUUGCAAAGCAAUAGCAUAAGAGAUAUCCCUUGAAUUUUUUCAUAAUACUACUGUUAUAGAAGGAGCUUCUGCAAAGUCUCUAACUGGCACCUCUUCUAAUGGCCACACAGAAUAUGGAGAGAUCAAACUAUUGGGUGCAUCAAAACCUGUAAUUGCAUCCAUGUCUGAUUUGGCAGCAAGUGGAGGAUAUUACAUGGCAAUGGCAGCACAGAUAAUUGGUAUAGAAAAUAUAACCUUAAGUGGAUCAAAUUAGAGUUGUGAUAGGUGAACUCCAUUUCUGUUCCGAGUCUAAUAAAUAGACAAGAAACUAUGCAUUUGCUUCUAGCUUUUGUGCUUAUGUUCUUUUUCUUCUUCUGCUC